rnacentral:tRNA from 1 species
GCCGGCGUAGCUCAGUUGGUAGAGCACUUCAUUCGUAAUGAAGGGGUCACCGGUUCAAGUCCGGUCGUCGGCU